AGAACAAUGAAAAAAGAGUUAGAGGGACACAUAGAGAGAGAUGACUGGGAGAUAGAAACUGAAGUACAGUUAGACGGACAAAAAGUCAGACAAACAGGUAGAAAGAAAAACAGUGAGACAGAUGUGAAUGAAAAAGGUUGGGAGACAGUAAGAGAGAAAGGAAAAAAGAAAGAGUGAGUGAGAGAAAGAAAGAGACACACACACACACACCGAAUAUACAAGUAGAAAAAGAGAUGGUGAAGGGAGUGAGGGGAGAGUGAAAGAUGUAAAUCGAGUAAGAUAGAGAGUAAGAAAUGUGUGAAUGAGAAAUGACAGGAGAGCGAAUGAGAGAAACAAAUGUAAGCCAGACAGACAGACAGAAAAAGAGACAAACAGAAAGAUAGUAAAGAGAAAGCUAGAAAUAUUUGUGUGCGAUGUGAGGGAGAAAAGAUAAAGUUGUAUAACUACAUAGGUAAAUACAUUCCUGUAUAUUUAAAGAAAAAAAUAGAAAUUGUGAAGAAAGGUAGUUACGUGUGCCUGUUUUCUGGAAAUUUUGAAAAAUAUGUGCACCUAGCAUAUAGUGUUGAUAUUUCGUUAUAAAAUAAACCAUAUUUUAUGUAAUGUACGGAUUGUGUUUAUCAGUGACGAACCUCUGUUUAAUAAUUUUAAAUCCAAGGAGUUUCGUCUGAAAUUUAGCGGAAUUUCACCCGAGUCAACAUGAAGGUUGGAGAUAGGAGUGGAUUUAAAAGUCCCUGUAGCGAUUCGAAGACCGGUGUUCUGCACUGGAUCCAGCAUUUUCAGCGGCAGAGCUGAAAAAGUUACAUCCAUAGUCAAGUUCAACUAGCUGUUUGUUCCUCUGGCUUUUUCUGGCUUUGCCCUUUUCAUUAUUUUAUUUUGUGCAAAGAAAUGGGGUGAUACAAUUGCAUUGCCUUUGUGGUGGUCACAACUACAACAUGUGUUCUUCUUGUCCUCUGUCCACCCGCUAUUGCUCCUGUAGCUGGUUGGUUUGGGAUAACUGCAGUCGGAGUUACAGCAGGUUCGAUGGCAGCAGCAGCCCAAUCAUGUAUAGGCAAUGUAAUGAAGGGGUCACCGUUCUCUAUUCUCCAGCAUGCAGGAAUGCGUGUUUAAUAAUUUACACUGGAUGAAUUUUUAUGGAGGGAAAAAUCUUGCAAAUAUGUACACAUUAUAUUUGUUUAUAAUACAAUAUAUCUCAUGUU
rnacentral:misc_RNA from 1 species